UGCUGCAUCAAUCUUUCAGAUACUUUGUGCCCUACGCUCACAUGUUUUGUCUCCUAUGUGCACUUUCUACCUCCGGUUUAUUUCCCUCCUCCCUCCUUUGCUCUUUCCGUCUUGUGUGCUGACAUUAGUCUCAUUAGGGCUUUGCAAAGCUGUUCUCGCCCCUCGGUAUGAAAGGCUAUUUGUUACAGCCACAGGAUUUCUACUUCUGUCACUUCAAACAGCCGCAACGCCUCGCCGACCUUAUCUCCUCUGUGUGAUUCUCACUGGAACUUUGUGACAGCUCAUUUCAGCACAAACGUAGCAGAUGACCUAAACAGGGCUUAACAAUUUCAUUCAGAUUUAAAAAAAUGUCAUUGUCAAAUAAAGGCAAAGACCACAGUGGUGAUGAAAGUCAAUAUGUUUGGGGGAAGAGACACAUGAAGUAUGAUGCAAGCGAAACCACUGAUUCUCGAUUGCAUAUUUUUUCCUUCAGUGCCAUUGGUAGCGUAGUCCUUCACAUAGUCCAUCCAUCCAAUUUCAUCGGGGUCGCGGGUAAACCGGAACCGAUAACAGCUGACAUUUGGCGAGACGACUCAACUGGUUCCCGACCGAUCACAAGGCACAUAGAGACAAAUAACCACUCACACUCACAUUUCAGUUAUUCUUCAGUGAACCUAACAUGCAUGUUUUGGGAUUAGGCCUACAGGAGGAAGCUGGAGUAACCGGGCACAAAACCCACACGGGCACAAGGAGAGCACACAAACUCCACGUAGGAAGACCGGAGCGGAGUUUCAAACCCCGAACCUUAGAACUGUGAGGCAGAUGUGCUAACCCCAGUGGAUUUUGAUGCAGCAUACAAACGUGCCCCGUGAUUGGCUGGCAAUCAGGCUAUCGUCCGCCUCUUGUUCAGUCAGUUGCGGUGGGCCUUCGUGCUGUGACCCACAAAAGGAUCAGCGGAACCACAAGAACAAACUGGAUACUCUGACACAGACUCUCGUUGUGCGACAGGAACACGUGCUAUAUGGCAAUUCAUCACAAAAACAAGAUGAUGAAUCACGAUCCUGGUACACCACUGUGUUCGAAGGUCGGGGGCACGGGAACGAAAUAUUUAGGCCAUCAACCAGCUUUACCUUGCGGUGGACCUUGACCAUACAUCACCGAACGUGAUGCUGUAGCCCGCUAUACGCACCUUGCACUUUCGUUCUAAGGCAAGAGGAAAACAACAGCGAUGACGUAGAGAAAGAAGAAGAAGAAGCACUGUGUCCAUGCGUCACGGGUUAUUAAAGGGCUCGCAUUAUGUGACGUGCGCAUCCGUCACCUGCGGGCUGUCCUCCUGUAACGUGAUAGCUGCAAGAACGCAGAACCUUUGCGAAUGACAUCCGCCCAUCCAGUUUCUCCUCCUCAUUAGGGUCGCGGGUGAGCUGCAGUCUAUUGGGCGAGAGACGGAGUAUAUCCUGGAAUGGUCGCCGGUCGACAGUGACUUACACUGACACCUUCAAAAAAUGUCGAGUCUUCAAUUAACCCAACAAUCCCAUAAAGUCAAGCAAACGCAGGGGCAACAUUCAAACUCCAUACAGGAAGUCCGGAGCAUGGAUUGAAACCCCCCCGACCUCAGAACUGUGAAGUGGGUGCGCUAACGCGGCCACCGGGGCCCCCUUUGUGAAUGCACACACUGAAAACAAGUACAAACAAGGUUCUCAAGAGAAUGAUUUGCACUUCAAACACUGUGCAAGGAUCUUCAUUUCGCAAAUUGGAAAAUUGAACGUAUUUGCUGGUGCUUUUAGUGCCAACAGCAUUUUUCAGAUAUUCGAAUUUGAGAGACGAGCGCGCACUGAAGAUGCAUACGCAGAAAUCCGAUUUGUAUUGGAUAUCAAAGCGCCACCGAGGAUCCGUCUAGCUAAAAUCCGAUUUCUGAAAAAUAUGGAUAUGACAAAAAUGGGAUUUGACGUUAGCUGCCUGAACAAGGCCUUGGAAACAGACAACUUUUUAAAAUUAUUAUUAUUAUUUUUUUUGUUUUACUCUGAAAUGAACCAUGCAUGUUUUUGAAACACAUUAGCACAAGUACCAAACAAAAGUAACGUUUUCGCUUUUGAAAUGUGAUGGCUGCUGUCACGGUCAUAUCAAGUUCAUAAUGUACAGAAUAAAAAAAAAAAGAGUCAUAAUCACUAAGAUUACCUGGCUCCAUAUAUAACAUUCAGAUGUGAGAAUCUCCACUGCAUUGCGUUGUACAUCUGCGCUUGGUUAACUGUGCAAUCCUAUUCUGGCACAGAGACGAUAAACACCUCAUACUUUGCUGUUCUCUCUCCUAAUCCCGCUUGGCAGCCAUGCAGCAACGGAUGGAAAGAACACAGCUCAGAACCAGAUAGGCUAUAACGGGCAUGAAAUCUGCCCCACACUGAUACUGUCAAACACAUUUAUACACAUCCUCAAACACACAAUGACUCGCCUGACUUUCCAUCGUAUAUCUUGAUGUCAUGUUUGAUCUUUGAUACAGUCUGGAUAUUAGGAUUCCAUUUCAUCCAUUCAUUCAUUUUCCGAACUGCUUCUCCUCGCUAGGGGGCGCGGGCGUGCUGGAGCCUAUCCUAGCUAU